AUUCUAUCCCGGUGCUCAAGUUCUUCAGGAGCACCUCAGUGUCUCCCUCUGCCCACCCACCUGCACCUGACAACUGUGGGCUGUGCUCUCAUGGAGGCACCGUCGGACGCUACCAGACUACAGAGGUGAGCGCCCUUAAUCCUGACUGAAGGUUUGGGAAAAGGCUUCUCAGAAGAGGUGAUACUUGAUACGGGCCCUGGAGGAGGAAGAACAGUUUGAGAAGACAGCAGUGAGAGAUGGCAUCCGGGCAGGCGAGAAAUGCAAAGGGAAGAGAGGUCAUCCAGGACAAAAGUACAGAAUUAAAAGAAAAAGCAACUAAGCACGAAAUCUUGGAGAAUGUCCUCAUUGAAGGGUGAGCAGAUGAAGAGGAGCCCACAAAAGAGACUGAGGAAUUGUCUUCAUUCACUCAUUCAUGCAUGCAUUCAUUUGGUCAACAAAUAUUUUUUGGCACCUCCCAUGGACAGGUCCUGAGCACCAAGGGAACAGUCAGAAAUGAUGAGUCCAGAAAUGAUGCCCUCCAGAACUUCCGGUGAGGAAGGCACUCAGGAAAAUGCAGCACCCUAUGGAGGCCCAGGAAGGAGGGCAUUCAGGAAGAACACAGUCUGAUGGUGUCAAGUGCAGUGGAAGCUAAGAGAUACGUUAUAUGUGCUCAUGUAGAUCGUCUGGCAAUUAGCUGCAAGAGGAUUAUAGGAAGAGAUUCUACCUAUCCAUCUCUUUACACCAUGCCUUCUGAAGAGAAUGUCCGUGACGUUCAGAGAGAAUCCUUGGAUUUAGUCAGGAAUAUUAGAUCCCUAAAUAAAAAUGUCUAAAAUCCUU